CCUACGGGAGGCAGCAGUGAGGAAUAUUGGUCAAUGGGCGUAAGCCUGAACCAGCCAAGUCGCGUGAGGGAUGAAGGUUCUAUGGAUUGUAAACUUCUUUUGUAAGGGAAUAAAGUGUGGGACGUGUCCCAUUCUGAAUGUACCUUACGAAUAAGGAUCGGCUAACUCCGUGCCAGCAGCCGCGGUAAUACGGAGGAUCCGAGCGUUAUCCGGAUUUAUUGGGUUUAAAGGGUGCGUAGGCGGCCUUUUAAGUCAGCGGUGAAAGUCUGUGGCUCAACCAGAGAAUUGCCGUUGAAACUGGGGGGCUGGAGUAUACUUGAGGCAGGCGGAAUGCGUGGUGUAGCGGUGAAAUGCUUAGAUAUCACGCAGAACCCCGAUUGCGAAGGCAGCCUGCCAAGCCAUUACUGACGCUGAUGCACGAAAGCGUGGGGAUCAAACAGGAUUAGAUACCCCAGUAGUC
rnacentral:rRNA from 1 species